rnacentral:rRNA from 1 species
CCUACGGGGGGCUGCAGUGGGGAAUAUUGGACAAUGGGCGAAAGCCUGAUCCAGCCAUGCCGCGUGUGUGAAGAAGGCCUUCGGGUUGUAAAGCACUUUCAGUGGGGAAGAAAGCCUUGGGGCUAAUACCCUCGAGGAAGGACAUCACCCACAGAAGAAGCACCGGCUAACUCCGUGCCAGCAGCCGCGGUAAUACGGAGGGUGCGAGCGUUAAUCGGAAUUACUGGGCGUAAAGCGCGCGUAGGCGGUCUGAUAAGCCGGUUGUGAAAGCCCCGGGCUCAACCUGGGAACGGCAUCCGGAACGGUCAGGCUAGAGUGCAGUAGAGGAAGGUAGAAUUCCCGGUGUAGCGGUGAAAUGCGUAGAGAUCGGGAGGAAUACCAGUGGCGAAGGCGGCCUUCUGGACUGACACUGACGCUGAGGUGCGAAAGCGUGGGUAGCAAACAGGAUUAGAUACCCGGGUAGUC